UAUAUACUCCUUCCGUCUGGAAAUACUUGUCGAAAAAAUGGAUAAAAAUGGAUGUAUCUACAACUAAAAUACGUCUAGAUACAUUCAUUCCUCCGACAAGUAUUUUUGGACGGAGAGAGUACAUU
rnacentral:pre_miRNA from 1 species